CACAGGUUCAGCCGGGGCUGUAGAGGUGCCCUGGAGUGCCCGUGACUGCGGCAGUGAAUGCCAUUGAGCCCAGUGGCCGUGCCCUGGGUGCUGCCCCACCGCGGGGAUGCUGCAGCACCGCCCCGACCCGCUGCCCUGGCCAGGUGACUGGUUUGAUGGAGUCAAAUUUCUGCACAUAUUCCUCUUGAAAAUGAAAGAACUCUGGAGAGAAGACACAAAAGUGAAUGACAUGCUGUGGUGGUUUGACCAGGAAGAAGUGGGAAUUCUGGGAAGCUGUAGUCAAACCAAUGAAAGUUUUGAGUUUGAGACUGGCAGCUGGUGUAGCCAGUGGCGUUUGGACACACCUCCGAGAAUACACAGAAGUUAAAAAGCAGAGGUCUGCCCCUGGCAGGCUCUCUUGAGACGUCACAGCGAAGAAGUCAGAUCUCUUCCCCCGUCCAGUCGCUGCUGCUGGGCGGGGGAGGGGCAGCCAUGCGGUAGGCCCGGGGCCUGGACAGAGAUGAGGGUGAGAAGGCCCUCAAAGAUGAAAAGGUGAAAGAGCCCCAAGAGACAUCAGGCAGCCAUUCCCCCCCCCCAGGAGGGAGAGAGAGGGAGAGUCGGCGAGACAGAAUGUGAUAGCAGCCGGCCCAGGAAGAAAAAAGGGGGAGAAGGGUGCAGCCCGGCCGGCCGCAGCAGCAGCACGUGUGGGAGUAUCAUCGUUCCGAGAUAGACAGAGACUGAAAGUUUUAACCCCUUUCUUUCAUGAUUGGGGCCUUGCAAAAAUGCUAAUCCUCCUCGAAGCUGAAUGAGAAGAGAGAUAAGAGAUGAGAUAAAACAAAGACCUAGCCCGAAGAACGUGGAGAUGAUUGAAUAGAGAGAGAUGAUUUAGAGUAGCCUUUUAACUAGACUUUUCUUGUAGCCAUAGACUCAGUUGUUCCUGUGACACAGAGACUGCAUUUAGGGGGAGGCAGUGCCUCAGAACCAAGAGAGUUCAUCGUGAAGACCCCCGGCCCCAAGAAGUUAGAAAAAUAUGAGGAAGACAGAUGUCCCAAAGCAGAGACUGUGCCUUUUUAGAGUGAGACAAAGCAUCCUUGAAAGACAACCCUAAAAGCAGCUCUAGUCCAUGCGUCAGUAGUGAGAACACUGAGCAUAGAAAGAAGAUGUCACAAGCAGCAAAAAGACUUUUUUUCCGGGCAGUGCCGAAGUGACAGAGAAGUACACGAAGUUUCAGUAUGUUUCCAGGAGAAGCCUAUGAAACAAGAAAGACUCCU
ensembl:lncRNA